UACGGGGGGAGCAAGCGUUGUUCGGAUUUACUGGGCGUAAAGGGCGCGUAGGCGGUCGUGACAAGUCACUUGUGAAAUCUCCGGGCUUAACUCGGAACGGUCAAGUGAUACUGUCGGACUAGAGUACAGAAGGGGCAACUGGAAUUCUCGGGUGUAGCGGUGAAAUGCGUAGAUAUCGAGAGGAACACCAGUGGCGAAGGCGACUACCUGGCCUGUUUCUUGACGUGGAGGCGCGAAAGCUAGGGGAGCAAACAGG
rnacentral:rRNA from 1 species